rnacentral:lncRNA from 1 species
UCAAAUUUUAAUUUAGUCACUUAAUUUUUAAAAAAUAACAAAACAGUCAUUACUAAUCAUUUUCUGUUAGAGAUGUAAUGUUAGAGAUGUAAUGGACGUAGCAUUUUCUGUUACAAACUUCCAUUUUUCAUCCCUCUUUCCCAACCCUCUCUCUCUUCCACACCAUCUCUCCCCUACUCUAAUUCUCUUUACCUCUCCCCCUUUUCCCCACCAUCCUUCUUUCUACUUUGAUUCUUUUCCUCUCCUCCAACGUCCCUUUGCUAACUCUCUUCCCCUACUAUGAUUCUUUCCCUUUCCCCCACUCUAAGAAAAAAAAAAAGACCUAACCGUCAUAUGUAGAACAUUUGAGUUCAAAAACGUAGGAGACUUGGUAAAACCAACUAUGAUGGACGAAAGACAGUGAUAAAUAACAAAAAGCUUAGCCCAAGCAGAAAUGAACAUUGUUAAGCAAAAACACUAGAAACCCAGCAGACUAAAACCUUUACGAGAAAAGAAGAAAAGAUUCUCUAAAAUUCAGAACCUAGCAGCGGCUAUAUUCUCAAGGAACUUCGACCAUGAAGAAACCAACACCCAUUUUUGGAUUCAAAACCUGGUAACAGACCUCUGAUGUAAAGAGACCUGCAAAAAAGAAAAAAGGAGAAUGGUCAUAUUCCCGAGAAAAGCGGACCGAGUACCGAACAAUGGAAGACCCAGAGGUGAUGGACCCAAAAACUACACAAACUGACCAAAGCUAUUCUGAAGCUUCUCGAAGGGUCAAAACCCGAGUUGUUGAUAAUCCUAUACUGCAACAUCGUUUAAAAAAGGAUAUCACACCUCCAUAGCUCCUCCACUAGCAAGUCAACUGUACCAUUGCUGAUUGCCUUGCAUUGCUAUAGAUUUAACCCCAAGAGGAUCUGACCCAAUUUUUCAAGUGAUGGCAGGCUUUUGUUGGAGAGCAAAUUGCAAACCAAUGUUUUAGGCGAUUUUUACUGGUGGGGGAGAGGGAAAGAAUCAGAGUAGGGAAGAGGGAGAGGGAUGGGAGAAGGGGAUGGAAAAUGAAAGAAUCAGAGUAGGGAAGGGAUGGUAGGGAAGAGGGAGAGGGAUGGGAGAAGGGGAUGGAAAAUGGAAGUUGUAACGAAAAAUAGUUUAGUUGUGAGUGUUUUGUUAUUUUUCAAAAGUGGAGUGACUGAAUUAAAACAUAAGUGAUUGUUUUAUCAAUUACUUCAAAGUUAAAUGACUAUUAAUAUAAUUUAUCCAUAAAAAAACAUAAAUAUGAAACUCUAAAAUGGCAUGGAUAAAGUAAAUAACUUAUUUUUUGUAAAUGCC